UACGAAGGGGGCUAGCGUUGCUCGGAAUCAUUGGGCGUAAAGCGCACGUAGGCGGUUCGUUAUGUCGGAUGUGAAAGCCCUUGGCUUAACCGAGGAAGUGCAUCCGAAACUGGCGAGCUAGAGUACGAAAGAGGAUCGCGGAAUUCCCGGUGUAGAGGUGAAAUUCGUAGAUAUCGGGAGGAACACCGAUGGCGAAGGCAAUCCCCUGGGCCUGCACUGACGCUCAUGCACGAAAGCGUGGGGAGCAAACAGG
rnacentral:rRNA from 1 species